rnacentral:ncRNA from 1 species
GAAAAUGCAAUGAAGAGGAGAGUAGUUUCGCCAAGUCAUUUCAGGGAAUCCCGGUAAGUGAGAAGGGAUAAUGAUCACCGAAACGAAAGUAGCCUUUGAGCAGUAAAUGCGAAGUAAUGAGUGUUUACGGAGAGCACGCCUUAAAGUGCCAGUGUAUCGUUGAGUAAAAUCAGCCGUACAUGAUAAGGUAAUUUGUGAGAACAAAUUAUAAAUUAAGGUGGUACAGUGCUAAAGCGCCCUUGAU